rnacentral:rRNA from 1 species
UACGGAGGGAGCUAGCGCUGUUCGAAAUUACUGGCCGUAAAGAGCACGUAUGCGGAUUGCAAAGUUGCGAGUGAAAUCCCGGGACUCAACCCCGGAACUGCCUCCUGAACUCCCAGUCUUGACGUCGAGAGAGGUGAGUGCUAAUUCCGAGUGUGUAGGAGAAAGUUCGUACAUAUUCUAGAGGAACACCAGAGGCGAAGGCGGCUCACUGGCUCGAUACUGACGGUGAGGUGCGAAAGCGUGGGGAGCAAACAGGAUUAGAUACCCUGAUAGUCCACGCCGUAAACGACGAAUCCCAGUCGUCGGGCAGCACACUCUUCGGUGACACACCUACCGGAUUAAGCAUUCCCCCCGGGGAGUACGGUCUCAAGAUUAAACCUCAAAGGAAUUGACGGGGGCCCGCACAAGCGGUGGAGCAUGUGCUCUAAUUCGAAGCAACGCGCAGAUCCUUAUCAACCCUUGACAUCGAGAUCGCGGAUCGUGGAGACACCUUCCUUCAGUUCGCCUGGACCUUAGACAGGUGCGGCACGGCGGUCGUCAGCUCGUCUCGUGAGAUGUUCGAUUAAGUCCGGCAACGAGCGCAAUCCACACUCUUAGUUGCCAGCAUUCAGUCGGGCACUUUAGGAGAGCUGCCGAUGAUAAGUCGGAGGAAGGUGUGGAUGACGUCAAGUCCUCCUGGCCCUUACGGCUUGGGGUACUCCCGUGCUACAAUGGUGGUGACAAUGGGCCAAUCCCAAAAACACAUCUCAGUUCGGAUUGGGGUAUGCAACUUGACUCCAUGAAGUCGGAAUCGGUAGUAAUCGCGUACCAGCAUGACGCGGAGAAUACGCUCCCGGGCCU